rnacentral:rRNA from 1 species
GACGAACCGUGCGAACGUUGUUCGGAAUCACUGGGCUUAAAGGGCGCGUAGGCGGGCCGGAUAGUCUGCGGUGAAAUCCUCCAGCUUAACUGGAGAAGUGCCGUGGAUACUGCCGGUCUUGAGGAAGGUAGGGGCAUCUGGAACGCUGGGUGGAGCGGUGAAAUGCGUUGAUAUCCAGCGGAACUCCGGUGGCGAAGGCGAGGUGCUGGACCUUUUCUGACGCUGAUGCGCGAAAGCCAGGGGAGCAAACGGG